GGCCCCUCGCGACGCUAGAUCGAAAAUCCCGCCAGGGCCGGAAGGCAGCAACGGUAUCGAUCGACGCGGGCGCCGAGGCCAGCC
rnacentral:SRP_RNA from 1 species